rnacentral:rRNA from 1 species
GUGUUGAUGACGCUGAGGGUCCACCUGUUCCCAUACCGAACACAGAAGUUAAGCUCAGUGGUGCCGAAAAUACUUGGCUGGCGACGGCCCGGGAAAAUAGGGAGAUGCC